AUUGAACGCUGGCGGCAUGCCUUACACAUGCAAGUCGAACGGCAGCACGGGUGCUUGCACCUAGUGGCGAGUGGCGAACGGGUGAGUAAUACAUCGGAACAUGUCCUGUAGUGGGGGAUAGCCCGGCGAAAGCCGGAUUAAUACCGCAUACGAUCUACGGAUGAAAGCGGGGGACCUUCGGGCCUCGCGCUAUAGGGUUGGCCGAUGGCUGAUUAGCUAGUUGGUGGGGUAAAGGCCUACCAAGGCGACGAUCAGUAGCUGGUCUGAGAGGACGACCAGCCACACUGGGACUGAGACACGGCCCAGACUCCUACGGGAGGCAGCAGUGGGGAAUUUUGGACAAUGGGCGAAAGCCUGAUCCAGCAAUGCCGCGUGUGUGAAGAAGGCCUUCGGGUUGUAAAGCACUUUUGUCCGGAAAGAAAUCCUUGGCCCUAAUACGGUCGGGGGAUGACGGUACCGGAAGAAUAAGCACCGGCUAACUACGUG
rnacentral:rRNA from 1 species